rnacentral:rRNA from 1 species
CCUGGGAACUGCGUUNUGAACUGGGUGACUAGAGUGUGUCAGAGGGAGGUAGAAUUNCACGUGUAGCAGUGAAAUGCGUAGAGAUGUGGAGGAAUACCGAUGGCGAAGGCAGCCUCCUGGGAUAACACUGACGUUCAUGCCCGAAAGCGUGGGUAGCAAACAGGAUUAGAUACCCUGGUAGUCCACGCCCUAAACGAUGUCGAUUAGCUGUUGGGCAGCAUGACUGCUUAGUAGCGAAGCUAACGCGUGAAAUCGACCGCCUGGGGAGUACGGUCGCAAGAUUAAAACUCAAAGGAAUUGACGGGGACCCGCACAAGCGGUGGAUGAUGUGGAUUAAUUCGAUGCAACGCGAAGAACCUUACCUGGUCUUGACAUGUACGGAACCCUCCAGAGACGGAGGAGUGCCUUCGGGAGCCGUAACACAGGUGCUGCAUGGCUGUCGUCAGCUCGUGUCGUGAGAUGUUGGGUUAAGUCCCGCAACGAGCGCAACCCUUGUCAUUAGUUGCCAUCAUUAAGUUGGGCACUCUAAUGAGACUGCCGGUGACAAGCCGGAGGAAGGUGGGGAUGACGUCAAGUCCUCAUGGCCCUUAUGACCAGGGCUUCACACGUCAUACAAUGGUCGGUACAGAGGGUAGCCAAGCCGCGAGGCGGAGCCAAUCUCACAAAACCGAUCGUAGUCCGGAUUGCACUCUGCAACUCGAGUGCAUGAAGUCGGAAUCGCUAGUAAUCGCAGGUCAGCAUACUGCGGUGAAUACGUUCCCGGGUCUUGUACACACCGCCCGUCACACCAUGGGAGUGGGGGAUACCAGAAGUAGGUAGGGUAACCGCAAGGAGCCCG